ACUCCUACGGGAGGCAGCAGUAGGGAAUCUUCCACAAUGGGCGCAAGCCUGAUGGAGCAACACCGCGUGAGUGAAGAAGGGUUUCGGCUCGUAAAGCUCUGUUGUUAAAGAAGAACACGUAUGAGAGUAACUGUUCAUACGUUGACGGUAUUUAACCAGAAAGUCACGGCUAACUACGUGCCAGCAGCCGCGGUAAUACGUAGGUGGCAAGCGUUAUCCGGAUUUAUUGGGCGUAAAGGGAACGCAGGCGGUCUUUUAAGUCUGAUGUGAAAGCCUUCGGCUUAACCGGAGUAGUGCAUUGGAAACUGGGAGACUUGAGUGCAGAAGAGGAGAGUGGAACUCCAUGUGUAGCGGUGAAAUGCGUAGAUAUAUGGAAGAACACCAGUGGCGAAAGCGGCUCUCUGGUCUGUAACUGACGCUGAGGUUCGAAAGCGUGGGUAGCAAACAGGAUUAGAUACCCUGGUAGGAUAGCG
rnacentral:rRNA from 1 species